UGAAAUUUUCCUGAAUCACUUUUAUAACCAAGUCUUUCCAUACAGUUGACAAUUUCUUCAGUACAUAAAGAAAACUUUGAUAAAGAUUGAGGAUGUCUUGAAGCAAAAGCAUUUUUUAGUGAUGCAAUGGAAGAACAAUAUUUUGAAUUAAGUGACAUAAAAUCAUUGCGAUCUGAACUAUCACUGCUCUGUGAUUCAAAUCCAGAACUUGGCUGUGAUAAAUUAUUUUUUAGCCUAGAAUUAUUCCCUAACAUCCCACAUAUGUGUUCAGGCAUUACUUGUAACUCCCUUUCAUUAGAUAAAAUAUUACAAAUUUUCUUUCCAGGAAAACAUUUCAUAUUUGAAUUUUCAAUAGUAGUGGUAGAAUCACAAUCACGAUUUACAUUCUGUCGACGCACAGUACACUGACCACUAUCCCAAUCUGUAGUUGAACUGGCAGAUGAAGAGCUGCCUGGGCGUUUUGUAUUAUUAUCACUAGUGGGACUAUCACUAUUAUACAUAGAUCUAAUUUUAUUUUGAUGAGACAAAGCAAGAGCUAAUCGUGGACUGGGUUGUGGAGAAGUUUUUUGAUUUUGAUUAAUAUAUGGUUUUGAUAUUGGAUCCACGGGGCUAGGUGUGAAUGUAUCACUGUCACGUCCUUUUUGAUCACUUCCCAUUGUAGCUGUUCUGCCAUCUGGUUCUCCACGUGUUCUAGCAUAAGUGGUAAAAGCCCCUGUUCCUCUACCAAUUGCUAAACUUCCUAAAACUGGUCUUCGUCUAAGAGGAUAUGCAAGAGUUGGGGUUGGUGGUGGUGGUGAUGUAGCUCUAGAAUCACUAUCUAAACUUUCUAGAGAACUGGAAUCUUCAAAGCUUAAAGUUUUCGGAGCUUCUUGAGUAUCUGUUAAUAGAAAAAAAAUCAUUGCAUUUAAUAUAAUAGUGUCACAAUACUUUAAAUUGCAGUAUUAGCGAGUUUUGUUUUUCGAUUAAAAAAUUUUCAUCAUAAAAUUUAGUUGAAAUUUUAAUAUUUAUUCUACAUAAAUGUCACAUACAGAAUAAAUAUAAUUAAUUCAUA
rnacentral:lncRNA from 1 species